rnacentral:rRNA from 1 species
UACGAAGGGGGCUGACGUUGCUCGGAAUCACUGGGCGUAAAGCGCACGUAGGCGGCUUUCUAAGUCAGGGGUGAAAUCCUGGAGCUCAACUCCAGAACUGCCUUUGAUACUGGAAAGCUUGAGUUCGAGAGAGGUGAGUGGAACUGCGAGUGUAGAGGUGAAAUUCGUAGAUAUUCGCAAGAACACCAGUGGCGAAGGCGGCUCACUGGCUCGAUACUGACGCUGAGGUGCGAAAGCGUGGGGAGCAAACAGG